rnacentral:misc_RNA from 1 species
GAACUCUCAAGGCUCCUUUCCCUUAACGGGGUGAGGGUGCUUUGGAUCGUGGGCGCUUGCCGGCCUGGUCGGCUCGCCUUAAAUUGAAUGUGGCGGCCUUCUCUGAAGCCUUGUGCGGGUUUGACCCGGAGUGAUAGAAGUCUUUCGAGAUCUCUGGGGAGUCCACCUGACGGUGGGCGCCUGCUGGGGUGGGAGCGGUUGCCUAGUUAGACUCGUCUGACGU